GGCAGGCCUAACACAUGCAAGUCGAGGGGUAACAGGGAGCUUGCUCUGCUGACGACCGGCGCACGGGUGCGUAACGCGUAUGCAAUCUACCUUUUACAGGGGAAUAGCCCAGAGAAAUUUGGAUUAAUGCCUCAUAGUAUUAUUGACUGGCAUCGGUUAAUAAUUAAAGAUUUAUCGGUAAAAGAUGAGCAUGCGUUCUAUUAGCUAGAUGGUGUGGUAACGGCAUACCAUGGCAACGAUAGAUAGGGGGCCUGAGAGGGUUAUCCCCCACACUGGUACUGAGACACGGACCAGACUCCUACGGGAGGCAGCAGUGAGGAAUAUUGGACAAUGGAGGGAACUUCUGAUCCAGCCAUGCCGCGUGCAGGAAGACUGCCCUAUGGGUUGUAAACUGCUUUUAUACAGGAAGAAACACUCCCACGUGUGGGAAUUUGACGGUACUGUAAGAAUAAGGAUCGGCUAACUCCGUGCCAGCAGCCGCGGUAAUAC
rnacentral:rRNA from 1 species